GACUCUCAACAACGGAUAUCUAGGCUCUCGCAUCGAUGAAGAACGUAGCGAAAUGCGAUACUUGGUGUGAAUUGCAGAAUCACGUGAAUCAUCGAGUCUUUGAACGCAAGUUGCGCCUGAAGCCAUUAGGCUGAGGGCACGUCUGCCUGGGCGUCACGCAUCUA
rnacentral:rRNA from 1 species